AGACCUAACAUCUCUGCGCCGCAGCUGGUCUCUCGCGACGGGACUAAUAAAUACCGCGCAGAUAAGAUCGCGCGUACAUUAUUUGUAUAUAAACCCAGUUCCUCUGCGGCCGCGCACAUUUUCACUUCGGCGCGUAUUUUCUAUCGUCGUCGUCUCGUUACACGAUUAGGUCGUACAAUCGUGACUAAUUAUUAAUAACCGGGGCCGCUGUA